rnacentral:lncRNA from 1 species
UAAAACCAAAAUAACCAACAUUGGUAAAUUCAACCAGCACAUUUAAGACCACUCUCCUCCACAGCUUAUUGUUAAAGAGUACAAAUCUAGAUUUUAUGAAAGCUAAAAACUCAUGUCAUUUACAACCAACAAUAUCUAAUUGGCCCUACUGGGAUACAUCUAAUGAAUUAUGAGGCACGCUUUCCUUAGCUUCAUAUCUGAAACUACCAUCAUGAGCUGCCAUCCAAUAGAGAAGCUCCAUUUUCAGAAUAGCACAUGUCCUGUUGAGAGAAAAUGGAAGUUAGCACCAAGUACAUCAAUAGUGAAAAAAUAAUAAAAUUUUCAGAGUAGCUUACAAAAUCAAUUUGCACAAACAUAUGGAGA